rnacentral:rRNA from 1 species
GAUGAACGCUGGCGGCGUGCCUAAUACAUGCAAGUCGAGCGAACAGAUGAGGAGCUUGCUCCUCUGACGUUAGCGGCGGACGGGUGAGUAACACGUGGAUAACCUACCUAUAAGACUGGGAUAACUUCGGGAAACCGGAGCUAAUACCGGAUAAUAUAUUGAACCGCAUGGUUCAAUAGUGAAAGACGGUUUUGCUGUCACUUAUAGAUGGAUCCUCGCCGCAUUAGCUAGUUGGUAAGGUAACGGCUUACCAAGGCAACGAUGCGUAGCCGACCUGAGAGGGUGAUCGGCCACACUGGAACUGAGACACGGUCCAGACUCCUACGGGAGGCAGCAGUAGGGAAUCUUCCGCAAUGGGCGAAAGCCUGACGGAGCAACGCCGCGUGAGUGAUGAAGGUCUUCGGAUCGUAAAACUCUGUUAUUAGGGAAGAACAAAUGUGUAAGUAAAUAUGCACGUCUUGACGGUACCUAAUCAGAAAGCCACGGCUAACUACGUG